GACGAACGCUGGCGGCGUGCUUAACACAUGCAAGUCGAGCGGUAAGGCCCUUUCGGGGGUACACGAGCGGCGAACGGGUGAGUAACACGUGGGUGACCUGCCCUCAGCUCUGGGAUAAGCCUGGGAAACCGGGUCUAAUACUGGAUAUGACUCCAUGACGCAUGUUGUGGGGUGGAAAGCCUUGUGCGGCUGAGGAUGGGCCCGCGGCCUAUCAGCUUGUUGGUGGGGGAU
rnacentral:rRNA from 1 species